ACGAGGGCCGCCUCAGGCUGCUCUGUGAGGACCACGAUGAUCCACAUCGUGUUUGCAAAAAUAUCUCCAUUUUUCGCCCACAUUUAUGGCCCGGAUUUGCCUCCCUCGCUCUUGAACUCCAGCCUUCCUUUGGGGGCAGGCUGCGGAACCCGGGACGCACCCUUUAUUCGGAUGCCCGACUAAUGACUAUAUGAAGCUGAAGGUAUGUGUGGAGCCUUGGAAUCCGAAUGAGAGAAGAAAAAAGUACUUGAAAAGUGAAAACAAGAAAAUUAUCCAAGUCCUGAGAGUGUAGGCAGGAGAGCGCUCUCCACUGAACAACAAUGGCGCUUCCAAACAAGACGACUCUGCAAAAACAGGAGUCCAGAUUUGGUGAGCUGCUGUCUACACUGACGGACCGACUUCCCCCAGUUUUACGCUUGGACAUGUAACAUAAGGCACAUCAUUAACGUGCACACGUCUCCCGUUGAUUGAUGGUUCACCAGCAUCACAGCUUCAUCAUCUAAAAUUGCCUUUACAUCUUCGCCCCACUCCAUUACUGGAAGAAAAAAUAAUCAACUGUUAUUAAUGGAAGGAUUUUCAUCCUAGAUUAAGCUAGAGUAAAUAUGUAUUUAUAUAUAUAGCAGCCAAUAUCUAAUUACAAGAACUUAUUUACUGGG